UACAGGGCGAUGAUGCAUAGCCGAGUUGAGAGACUGAUCGGCCACAUUGGGACUGAGACACGGGCCAAAACUCUACGGGGAGGCAGCAGUAGGGAAUCUUCCACAAUGGACGCAAGUCUGAUGGAGCAACGCCGCGUGAGUGAAGAAGGGUUUCGGCUCGUAAAAGCUCUGUUGUUGGUGAAGAAGGACAGGGGUAGUAACUGACCUUUGUUUGACGGUAAUCAAUUAGAAAGUCACGGCUAACUACGUGCCAGCAGCUGCGGUAAU
rnacentral:rRNA from 1 species